rnacentral:misc_RNA from 1 species
CAAGAUGGCGGCCGCUACAAAAUGGCGGAUAACGUAGGUUUUAUCAAUCCCAUCAAUAUGGGUAUCAAAUGAAAGGGCUCAACAAGCAGAAUACAAUAUACUAUAAAAAAUUGAAAUACAAGAUGGCGGCCGCUACAAAAUGGCGGAUAACGUAGGUUUUAUCGAUCCCAUCAAUAUGAGUAUCAAAUGAAAGUGCUCAACCAGUAUAAUACAAUGUACUAUAUAAAAUUAAAAUCCAAGAUGGCGGCCUCUACAAAAUGGCGGAUAACUUAGGUUUUAUCAAUCCCAUCAACAUGGGUAUCAAAUGAAAG